AGUGAGGGAAUGGGUGGAUCAAUGGGAAGUGUUAAAACAUGAAGCUGUUAAAGGGUUUUUGAGUCACUGUGGUUGGAACUCAGUGUUGGAGAGUUUGAGCUGUGGAGUGCCGAUUCUUACUUAUCCGUUAAUGGCGGAGCAGAGUUUGAAUGCGAGGAUGGUGGUGGAGGAGUUGACGGCGGGGAUGAGGGGGGUCGAGGGGACGACGUCGAUGAAGGGGAACGUGAAAGGGAAGG
rnacentral:misc_RNA from 1 species